GCCGCCGCCGUUCCCGCAGCAACUCUCGCGAGAGCGGCCCCUGUCAGCCGCCCUUCGCGAUCGCGCCCCAGCCCCGCCCGCCACGGGAACGGCGCCUGCGCGCUCGCCUUCCCCGGGGGAGCGCCCCCGCGCAUGCGCCCGAAGCGAGCGGAGAGGGGCAGCCGCCGAAGUACCGAGGCCUCCCGGGCAGCGCAACGCUACGGGCCCCUGCAACGUUAGGCUGCGUGAAUCCCCCGAGGGCGGAGGGUCCCUGUGCUCGGCACUGACAGGGCAGUCUACCACAUCAUGGAGCUAGCAAGGAGAAAUUAAUUUAGAAGCUACCCAGAACUACUAGGGAAAACCAUGUCCAUGUUAAAACCAAGCCUGUCUACACAGCGUUUGAGUCGGCACCAAGGGGUGCAGAACCGCUCACCAGACCCAAGAGCAAAGAAUACACCUGGUAGAGCCAUUACGUGACAACCAUCACCCCAUUCAAGCACUGAUUAAGGCACCCAUGCUGUAGGAAAAAACCAGCAUGAUCACACAUUGCAAUUAAAAUAUCCACAGAGGGCAGAAUUCAGACUGCACAGGUGACUAAUUCCAGGGUUUAACUACAUGACCCUCCUAACAUUCUUCUAGCUUGAAAAGACUAAUUACAACAUCUAGUAAAACAGUUGCUUAGGUAAACAUCAAGGCUCAAUUCCUCCAUAAAGCCACUGAAUAAAAGAGCUUUCCUCUGGCUCUGGAGAGGAAAGCUAGUUUCUGAACUAGAAGUUUCCUACAACUGUACUCCCACUCCCCUUAGAGGAUAAGCCAACUACAGGGGCUACUUUUUUCUUUUUUUCUUUUUGAUAGGUUGCUCCCCACUCCCUCACCCCAAAAAGAUGCUGAGAUGGGCAGUGUGGGCAUUGAAAUGAGUUGAAUUUGAAAUUCUAAUUGAAACGUACAAAAGUGGGAUGCUGUACCACAGUAUUGAGACAUAAGCUGAAGAGUUAAUAUCUGGGCUCAUGUAAAUUUAGGAUCAUUCUGGACCCAGGUCUGGGUUCAAGACUACAUCUAAUUUAGGCAUAGAUAACAUAUUUUGUUUUAUGAGAGAUGCACAUUUUUAGCCUCCAGUUAAACCCACUUUCUUUUUUUAAGUAAACCCCCACACUGGUUGAUCUCCCCCAGCUGUAUUGUGCAGAGGGGGUGUCAUGGUUUCAUCCAUACCAGGAUUCAAAUAACAUCAGAAUAUACACCGCUGCCUCACACAAUUUGGCUUACAAACCAUGUUCUGCAGACAUUGCCUGCUGACAUUCUCAUUCUAAAUGCUUAAGCAGCUUGAUAAAGAUUCCGAGAGGUUAUUUUUGGAUGAAAUUUGUGGUUUAAACCCUUAGACAAGAUCAGUUUCUCCUCCUAAUAGCAUUGUACUUAAGAGGUUUUAACUCAUUCCCAGAUUUGGGUGUCGGGGGAAGGUGUGAAUUCUCCCAAUACUUCAUUCAGAAAUUGGAAAGGGUGGAGAAAAAGGGCUGUAGGAGUUGAGGAUGCUACAAAUGCUUCAGAUGUUCUUUCUGAGGAUGCAGAAGUGAUUCAUCUAGGAUGACAAAAAUGUUGAAAUCAGAGCUAGGCUCCAAGAUCCCUUGAGUCCCCAAUUCUUGUUCCUAGAACAGGCUUACAGCAUCUCUGCUUUCAUGUAUGACCUCAAAAUGAGGAUUUAGAAGUUAUUAGUAAGCUUUCUAUAAGUUAAAUAACAUGAUCUCAGAAAAGUUAUAGCAACUACUUUUAGCUGGACUUGAAAAGCCAGAUAUGGCUAACAGCUGCCAGUUGAAUGAUAGCUGCUUUAAGAGGCUGCAGCUGCCUGACUUUAAAAGGGCAGCCCCAGAAAGUCAAACAAGCAACAAAUUUUAGAAAUAGCAGAGAUCAAAGUGUUAUAGAAAGAUAUUCCUGAUAAAGGAGUUGCUGAGAUAUACUUGCUUGCAAACCAAUUAACGUAGGAUGUUCCCCCAACUUGCAAACAAGUUAAUGCUUUAGAAAAAUAUACGACUUGCUGUGCAAAUAGAGCGCAGCUUCACUACAGCAAAAGCUGAAAUCCUGGCAUAGCUGUAAGCGAGGGUGAAAAAGGCCAGUGUUUUGCUAGAGGAUCAAUUUCAAAUGUUUUUUGUAGUCUACGAAUAGCUUGAAUUUUCUAUGACCGUCUGUCAUACAACCUAAGAUUAGCUCUGAGUGUUUUAAGUAGUACUAAGGGUAAGGAAAAUCUUGGUGUCUGAUGUUCCUUUUGGAUACCUUUUUAAACUUCUUGAAGCAAGCUGGGGAAAUAAAUAUAUGGGGUUUUUUAUUAAUAGAUCAGAGCAAUAUUUGUUAAAGACUAGUUUUAUGUAAGCAGCCACUCAAGGGUUAAAACUGCUGCUUGGAAUAUUCAUAUUAAUACCAUGUUACUGGCUAAACACAAUAGUUACUGAUGACACGAAGUUUAACAUUAGUAACAGCAGUUAUGUCGGUGCAAAUGUUACUGAGGACAAACCAGAGUGAUAAUACGUGCCUUAUCUUGACGCCGUCUUUAAACUAUGUUCCAUUAAUGUCUGUGUCCUUGCAAUGGAAUUUAAUUAUUGUGGAAACUUUUGCAUUAUUAGGACUCAGAACUCCCACUGUAUGUCAUCUAAAGAUGAACUUUUCCUAGUGUUGUCACAGCAAAUGCAUGACCUUAGCGUACGUUGUGGUAACAUCAGCUUCUCCAGAUGAGCAACUCUGGCACGCACUGAGAGAUAACGAUGUACCCGCUCCUGAUUUUUGUCACCAUCUUAGUGCAACUCUCUGCAGUAAACAUACUUCCUUGUAGGGCUGAUGCGAGAGCGAAAUUCUAACCAGGAGGAUAUUCUGGGCUGUUUCUUUUCAUUUGAAGGAAUAAAGAAGUGACCUCUCACUCCCACUUGCUGAGAGCAUCAACACAUGCAACUUCAAAGGUGGUUUUGAAAACUAAGCGUCAGAGCUUAAAUUGGAGCCCAGGGGCCUCUGCCUCAAACAAAAGAGCAACUGGGAACUAUUGGGAGAGCUAUUGAACUUAGAGAGGGUUCAUAGUCAGAAAAUAUUUGCUCUAGCUUUGAUUCAUAUCUGUUCUCUCUAUUGGCAAACACAAGUUAAAAGCUUGUGAACUGACACAGUCAUGAAAGAGUGAGCCAGUCUGGCCUCCAUGUUCUGUGUGCAUUGUGAGCAAACUCACCUACAGCAGAAUCUCUCUGGUGAUAGUGCAAGACACAGAAGAGCCCAGAACACGAUCACAUCUCAGGUGGAGCAGAGGCUGCAACAAGAAAAACCCAAGCCUCAGUAGGGAACAAAAGUGAUCCUUAAUUUGUAGAUGGUAACUUGAUGCAAAGUUGCAUGAGGCCAAAUUCUUUAAGGCUUCUAAUCAAUCAAGAGGAAAAAUCUAACACCUGGGUACUGUAGAGACUGUCAGUAUCAAAGAUAAAACAGGGUGGGUGUAGUUCCCUUGAGCACAAGUAGGAACUGCUUGGUGGUUGCUGGAAUCUGACAUCACAUCCCAGCUCUAACAGAAGGAGCCUUUGGCCUUGGGUACAUCCUUGUUCAUGAGCACUGGUGAUUCACAGACAGAUCACCUGCUUGACAAACUUCCAAAAUGUAAGCAAUUUCUGUACAAUGAUGUGGGUUAACCCAACUUUCCACGUGCUUCGGCCUCCGUGUCUUCUGAGCCACAGGCAGAGGAAGCUUUCCUGCUAGAGCUCUCCAAGACGGCUCACUUCAUCCUUUCUGUAGUCUCCACAUCUGUUCCUAAGCCCAUUCUCCUCAGACAUGAGGAUCUGCGAUCAUCAUGAACUACAAUACACAAUUCCUGAUUUAAGGACCUUUGUGUCUGUUGGAAUGAUUUUUUUUUUAAUGGCAUCUGGCACAGUAAUUGUAAUAAAAUACAUUGCUAAUAUGCA